GUUAGGUUAAAAAAGUACUGUCAUAUGUAGUUUUGCAAUUGAAUUUCGACAGAGCGACAGUAUUUCUUUCAUCCAGCAAAAAGAAGAUUGGUAAUGGAAUAUCGUCAACGAGAAAACAAAGAUAGAAUACGCACUCCUUCUAGUCCUUCAAGAGUGGCAUUGUAUAGUCCUUAGUGCACUCAGGAAUCCUUCACCAAAGAUUUAACAGCUGAAUGUCCUGAAUAGGAGCACGUUUCCUAUGACAUUAAUAUGCAGAGAAGCAUUUUGUGAAAGCAGUGACAAAACCCUUUAAAGGUAUCUAAAGGCGACUUGGCCAAAAAUCCUGGCAGAAUCCAGCCUAGCUACGGAUCUGAAAUGGAGUACUGGGUACGGCUCAACAGACCCUCAUGAACAUGAUCCAAAGUUGUAGUGAGGACGGAACCUUUUUGGGAAAGCAUGGCCUAUAUUUCAUUUAAUUUCAUCCGUUUGUCUUUUGAUUAAAUCAUGUUAAUGAUACGUAA